rnacentral:misc_RNA from 1 species
AAGUCGUAACAAGGUUUCCGUAGGUGAACCUGCGGAAGGAUCAUUACCAAGGGAACUCUCAUCACUGGGACCACUCUCUAACUGCCUUUGUGUGAACCGUUUCUGGGACUUGGUGUGGGGACUCAAGGUGUGCCGUAACUGGCACAUUUGAUCGCCGCGCUGCUUUUGUACCUACUGCUCUAUACGCUUGACUGAAUGCCUAUUGUGAACUUGUAAAAACUUUUAGCAAUGGAUCUCUAGGCUCUU